UUCAUUUCCAAAACACAUAUUCAAAGGCAGAAUUAUUAAGAAUUUCAAGACAGCAAUAGUAUAGCUUUAAACCAAGUAAGAGGUGCUUCUGAGGACAUAAUCCUGAACAUCUGCCCAGGCUGAACAAUCAUGAUGCCAGCCAUAGUGUGAAAUACCUUUCACAAGUAUGAGGGCUACCUGACUGUUGGGGUAGAGCUGCAGACUUUCCCUACUGAGCCUAGCACUGAACCUGUGUCUCUGCUGAAAGAAACUUCCCACAAACAGAAAGUCACCUCAAAGUGUCUACUCUUCCAGUCUUCCAUCUUGUCACUGGGAUCAGUAUACUAUAGGAUCUAGACAAUUGGCCUUUAAAGGUGGCAGAUUUUCAAGAAAUCAACUUAUUAAUUUUGAUCAUGUUUUUUGCCUGGAUGUCUGAAUAUUUAUUUCCCUGCAAAAUUCACAUGUUAAAAUAUUAACUCCAAAGUGAUGGUAUUAGAAGGUAGAGAGCCUUUGAGAGGAGAUUGGGUCAUGAGGGCAGAACCUUCAUAAAUGAGAUUAGUGCCCCCAUACAAGAGUCCUGAAUGAGACCUCUCGCCCCUUCUGCCAUGUGAGGACACAGUGAGAAGGCACUGUCUAUGAACAAGGAAG
rnacentral:lncRNA from 10 species